UAUGUAUUAUUAUAUGACUGUCAUUUUUCCCACACGCUGAUUGGUCAAAACCCCUCUUAUAGGUCUAAAUAUAUUGCGAUGUUCCACCGAAACCUACAGAAUCCGUGCACGCGAGGGAUUUUUCAGCCCCUGAAGGCACUGCCGCAGAUGCUGCCAAGCAACCUCGAGACGCAAGUAGGAGGAAACGAAGCACCGUAGGUCUGGCCAAGCUAGUGCUGAAGCGACAGUCAACGGACAACGAUAAGCCAUGGUCUGUGCGUUCGCUGAGCAGUGACAGUGCGAAGGAGAACACAGCUGCUUGGGUGAAAAGCAUAUCAGAUGGAGCUACACAGCAGGGACUUCUCCGCGAGCGAGUGCCUGGGCCGCGCACGAAAGGAGC